rnacentral:rRNA from 1 species
GCGGUGAGCAUGUGGUUAAUUCGAAGCAACGCGAAGACCUUACAGGCCUUGACAUGCAGAGAACUUUCCAGAGAUGGAUUGGUGCCUUCGGGAACUCUGACACAGGUGCUGCAUGGCUGUCGCCAGCUCGUGUCGUGAGAUGUUGGGUUAAGUCCCGUAACGAGCGCAACCCUUGUCCUUAGUUACCAGCACGUUAUGGUGGGCACUCUAAGGAGACUGCCGGUGACAAACCGGAGGAAGGUGGGGAUGACGUCAAGUCAUCAUGGCCCUUACGGCCUGGGCUACACACGUGCUACAAUGGUCGGUACAAAGGGUUGCCAAGCCGCGAGGUGGAGCUAAUCCCAUAAAACCGAUCGUAGUCCGGAUCGCAGUCUGCAACUCGACUGCGUGAAGUCGGAAUCGCUAGUAAUCGUGGAUCAGCAUGCCACGGUGAAUACGUUCCCGGGCCUU